rnacentral:rRNA from 1 species
UGGGGAAUCUUGCGCAAUGCACGACAGUGUGACGCAGCAACGCCGCGUGGGGGAAGAAGGCUUUCGGGUCGUAAACCCCUUUCAGGAGGGACGAAGCUUCGGCAGCGAAUAGCUGUCCGGAGUGACGGUACUUCCAUAAGAAGCCCCGGCUAACUACGUGCCAGCAGCCGCGGUAAUACGUAGGGGGCAAGCGUUGUCCGGAAUCAUUGGGCGUAAAGAGCGCGUAGGCGGCCAGAUAAGUCCGGUGUGAAAGUCACAGGCUCAACCUGUGAAUGCCGCUGGAAACUGUCUGGCUAGAGUCCGGUAGGGGCGAGUGGAAUUCCUGGUGUAGCGGUGAAAUGCGCAGAUAUCAGGAGGAACACCAAUGGCGAAGGCAGCUCGCUGGAACGGUACUGACGCUGAGGCGCGAAAGCGUGGGGAGCGAACAGGAUUAGAUACCCUGGUAGUCCACGCCGUAAACGAUGGGUACUAGGUGUAGGAGGUGUCGACUCCU